CGCCCGCACUCUUCAGCCCUUGGGCGGUCGAUGGGACUGGCCGCCGUGGAGCAGGGGGCGGCGCUCGUCGGGUAGGCUGGGGCUGCGCAGGAGCCCACGGCGGGUGGGUGGGGGGAGGUUCCCACAUGGCGGGCUGCAGGUCCCGAGGCCAGCCCCGCGGGGAGGCAGCUAAGGCCCGGGCGAGAAAUCUAGCAAAGCAGCUGCUGGCCCAGGUGCUAAGCCCCUCACUGCCUGGGGCGGCGGGGUCGGCCGGCCUCUCCGAGUGCCGGCCUGCGAGCCCACGCCCACCCGGAACUCGCACUGGCCCGCAAGCGCCGCGCGCAGCCCCGGUUCCCGCCCGCGCCUCUCCCUCCACACCUCCCAGCAAGUUAAGGGAGCCCAGCAAGGCUCCGGCCUUGGCCAGCCCAGAAAGGGACUCCCACAGUGCAGUGCCGGGCUGAAGGGCUCCUCAAGCGCGGCCAGAAUGGGCCCCGAGGCCCAGGUGGUGCCAAGAGAGAGCGACGGCUGCCAGCAUGCUGUUACCUCUCAUUAGGAUACUUAGAAAGUUUUCUCUAGCUGCAAUUGGGAUUUUCAAGCUGACCCCCAUCUGGUAGGAUGAUGAUGCCUUCUGGAAGAUUCUCGACAGAGCCCAAAUGACCAACAGAGUAGGUCAAAAGCAGAAGGACAGAUGAUAAAAUGCCAAAAAAGGGAGUUUCAACCAGACAAGAGUUUAGGAGAGUAUUUUGAUGGAAAGAAGAUAGCAACCAUAGGACUCGGUUGUAGACAUCCAGAAGAUGGUGCAAAACAGUAGCUGCAUUUCAGCAGAAGCCCAAUGGAUGUGGAAAACAAUGGCUUAACAGAGGUAACAGGCUGCCAUGAGCUUCAUAAAAACAAAUUCAUGACACUAAUUGACUUAUUUAAUAUGAGAAGAAUCAAGAUUUUCACACUCAAGUUGAGGACAUACUUAAAUUAGCCAACCAAAUAAAGGUAUGUAAUACAACAAUACCCUUUUUGGAAGCUAGGGAAGCAGUAUUUUUUACUGGUAGAGAUCAAAAAAUUUUCCCUAAGUGAGUGUUGUAUACUUUGUGAAUGUGUGAAUAUAUGAAUGAGUCAGAGGGCAAGUCUUUAGGAAUUUUCUUUGUAACUCUGAGUAAAACAGUAGUGUCAAUAUUCCCUUGGGUUAAUGUAAGCAGAUCUGCUAUUAAUACUAGGCAAAAAAAGGAAAUAAUUCUUGAACUUUCUCAUAUUUUAUAUAUUAUGGUAAAUUAUGCUGAAUGAAUUUUAAAAAUUAGUAAUUGUGAAAUGUAAAUUUAAUUUUCUUAAAAUAUAUCAGGACUAUACUAUAGUUUAAAAUUCAUGAAAAAUUAUAAGAAGUUUACAUUUAUUGACAAAAAUUAAAACUAUAGAACUCUUGAAUCACCAAACCUAAUUUCAUACUUCGGCGAUAAUUCUGUGUGAACAGUAUUUCCAAAGAGAUGAAUUAAUGUAUGUAGCCUAUUAAAGUUCCUUGUGAGAGUGAGAUAAUUCUAUAAAUACAUAAAGAAGUUUAUAAUUAAACAAAACAACUUUCAUUAUAUAUUGACACUGCAUGAUUAAUAACUGCUUUCUAAAUUUGUGAUGCUUACUAUAUAUACUUGUAUUACAUUUCAAAUAUUAACAUAAUUUUCUCAACAUAUAUUUAAACAUGUGUUUUCUAUAAGAUACAUGCUAGAUAGUGUAAGUCUCUACAUGAAGCCGAAACUGUAGAACCUUCUCCUUUUAGGGAAUUUAUACUACAAUUUUAGACUGCCUUCUGAUGUUAAUUUAAACUUAUUUCAAAUAGAAUACUUAAUUAGUAAAACAAAUCCAACUCUACAGCAUGUUUGGAUGAAAAAACAAUAAAGACUGCAUCCAGAGAAAAAACACCCAAUAUAGAAAACAACAAUUUUAUAUAUCUUUCUCUACUUAUAUUCUUACCAUUCUGUUUUAUAAUUCCAAGUUGGAUCUAUUUCUGUACUCAAAAACAGAAUAGUAUUUGCCACUCUUCAAAGACAGGAUGCUUUUUUAGAAAUUUGUGUCUUUUUUUCAUAUGGUUUUCUCUUUCCGUCUUCCACCUAUUAAACAUAGAUAGCAUUCAAUACCUUGGUUAAGUAUGAUAUUUUAUGUGAAGCUUUCUGUGACCAUAAAAGAUCAUUAAAUUUCUUCCUCCUUUGAAUUUUAUAUAUUUGCG
rnacentral:lncRNA from 10 species